rnacentral:rRNA from 1 species
UACGGAGGGGGCUAGCGUUGUCCGGAAUUACUGGGUGUAAAGCGUGCGCAGGCGGUCUGUUAAGACCGAUGUGAAAUCCCCGGGCUUAACCUGGGAACUGCAUUGGUGACUGGCAGGCUUUGAGUGUGGCAGAGGGAGGUAGAAUUCCACGUGUAGCAGUGAAAUGCGUAGAGAUGUGGAGGAAUACCGAUGGCGAAGGCAGCCUCCUGGGCCAACACUGACGCUCAUGCACGAAAGCGUGGGGAGCAAACAGG